CAGCCGCCGCGGGAAUACGAAGGGGGCUAGCGUUGCUCGGAAUGACUGGGCGUAAAGGGCGCGUAGGCGGAUUGUUUAGUUAGGCGUGAAAUUCCUGGGCUUAACCUGGGGACUGCGCUUAAUACAGGCAGUCUAGAGUGAGGAAGAGGGUUGUGGAAUUCCCAGUGUAGAGGUGAAAUUCGUAGAUAUUGGGAAGAACACCGGUGGCGAAGGCGGCAACCUGGUCCUUGACUGACGCUGAGGCGCGAAAGCGUGGGGAGCAAACAGGAUUAGAUACCCCAGUAGUCCCUGUCUCUUAUAC
rnacentral:rRNA from 1 species